CACAAAACAGCAUGAUGCUAUGGACUUAUAUUUAGUGUAGAAGACAUUAACUAUGGAAGAAUGAUGCAUUAGUUUCCGCCAUAUCAUUUCAGCACGGCAUUGAUUGCAUUGGUCGAAUCGUCAGUAAGAGUCAACCAUGUUACAGCAGAUUCUCCAGACGAUGACCGUCGACCCUGACCUCCUGUCAGAGCUGUCGGACGAACAGAAGGCCAUACUGUUUGUCAAGAUACGGGAGGGUCUAGGUGAUGGGGAUUGCAAAAACAAUAAAUCUAUUGAGGAGAUGAUUGGGUUAGAGAUAUAGGAGAAGGCACUCAAGGAGGCUGAGAGCGAGAUCGAGAAGAUCAGGUGAGAUACA